GACGAACGCUGGCGGCGUGCCUAACACAUGCAAGUCGAACGAGGUCCAAGGGAGCUUGCUCCCUGAAGACCUAGUGGCGAACGGGUGAGUAACACGUGAGAAACCUGCCUCGGAGUGGGAAGUAACUCGGGGAAACGUACGAGCUAAUACCGCAUACCUUCACACGAUCGCAUGGUCGAGUGAAGAAAGAAUUUCGCUCUGAGAGGGUCUCGCGGCCUAUCAGCUUGUUGGUGGGGUAACGGCCCACCAAGGCAACGACGGGUAGCUGGUUUGAGAGAACGAUCAGCCACACUGGGACUGAGACACGGCCCAGGCUCCUACGGGAGGCAGCAGUGGGGAAUCUUGCGCAAUGGGCGAAAGCCUGACGCAGCAACGCCGCGUGCGGGAUGACGGCC
rnacentral:rRNA from 1 species